AGGGCGCAUGGUGAAUGCCUUGGCACUAGAAGCCGAUGAAGGACGUGACGAACCACGAAAGGCUUCGGGGAGCAGUAAGUAAGCAAUGAUCCGGAGAUAUCCGAAUGGGGGAACCCAAUACCGUGAGGUAUUAUCAUUAACUGUUAAGGUUAAUGAAGGAAGACGCAGUGAACUGAAACAUCUAAGUAGCUGCAGGAAGAGAAAGAAAAAUCGAUUUCCCAAGUAGCGGCGAGCGAACAGGAAAGAGCCCAAACCAGCUGGCUUGCCAGUUGGGGUUGUAGGACUGCGAUAUAGUACUUGAAGUGAUAGCAGAAUUAUCUGGAAAGAUAAGCCAGAGAGGGUGAGAGCCCCGUACGCGAAAUUGCGGAGAGACUUAGCAGGAUCCUGAGUAGGUCGGGACACGAGGAAUCCCGAUUGAAACCGCGAGGACCAUCUCGCAAGGCUAAAUACUAACUAGUGACCGAUAGUGAACCAGUACCGUGAGGGAAAGGUGAAAAGAACCCCGGAAGGGGAGUGAAAAGAGAACCUGAAACCGUGUGCCUACAAGUAGUCAGAGCACAUUAAAGUGUAAUGGCGUGCCUUUUGUAGAAUGAACCGGCGAGUUACGUUAUGGUGCAAGGUUAAGUCAGAAAAGACGGAGCCGGAGCGAAAGCGAGUCUGAAUAGGGCGAAAGAGUAUCAUGACGUAGACCCGAAACCAAGUGACCUACCCAUGACCAGGUUGAAGGCGUGGUAAAACACGCUGGAGGACCGAACCCACGUGAGUUAAAAAUCGCGGGGAUGAGUUGUGGGUAGCGGUGAAAUUCCAAACGAACUUGGAGAUAGCUGGUUCUCUCCGAAAUAGCUUUAGGGCUAGCCUCGUGUGAAUGAUAAUGGAGGUAGAGCGCUGUUUGGACUAGGGGCCCGUCAGGGGUUACUGAAUCCAGAUAAACUCCGAAUGCCAGAUAUCAAUGCACGGGAGUCAGACUGCGAGUGAUAAGAUCCGUAGUCGAAAGGGAAACAGCCCAGAUCACCAGUUAAGGUCCCCAAAUCUAUGCUAAGUGGAAAAGGAUGUGGAGUUGCGUAGACAACUAGGAUGUUGGCUUAGAAGCAGCCACCAUUUAAAGAGUGCGUAAUAGCUCACUAGUCGAGUGACGCUGCGCCGAAAAUGUACCGGGGCUAAGCAUAGUACCGAAACUGUGGAUGCAUAUAUUAUAUGCGUGGUAGGAGAGCGUUCUAAGUGCGGCGAAGUUAGAUCGAGAGGACUAAUGGAGCGCUUAGAAGUGAGAAUGCCGGUAUGAGUAGCGAAAGAUAGGUGAGAAUCCUAUCCGCCGAAAGACUAAGGUUUCCUGGGGCAGGCUCGUCCGCCCAGGGUAAGUCGGGACCUAAGGUAAGGCCGAGAGGCGUAGCCGAUGGACAACAGGUAGAAAUUCCUGUACUGAAAUUGUUCGAUAUGAGCAAAGGAGGGACGCAGGAGGCUAAUGACGCAUGUUGCUGGAAAUACAUGUGCAAGCAGUAAGAAAAAAGAUGAGUCAAAUGCUUGUCUUUAGAUUUCAAGCUGUGAUGCGGAGCGAAAUAAAAGUAGCGAAGGUCAUGAUGUCACACUGCCAAGAAAAGCUUCUAGCCAGAACAAUUUUACCCGUACCGCAAACCGACACAGGUAGUCGAGUGGAGAACACUCAGGUGAGCGAGAGAACUCUCGUUAAGGAACUCGGCAAAAUGACCCCGUAACUUCGGGAGAAGGGGUGCUGAUAGUAAAAUAUCAGCCGCAGUGAAUAGGCCCAAACAACUGUUUAUCAAAAACACAGGUAUCUGCAAAAUCGUAAGAUGACGUAUAGGUGCUGACACCUGCCCGGUGCUGGAAGGUUAAGAGGAGAGCUUAGCGUAAGCGAAGGUUUGAAUUGAAGCCCCAGUAAACGGCGGCCGUAACUAUAACGGUCCUAAGGUAGCGAAAUUCCUUGUCGGGUAAGUUCCGACCUGCACGAAAGGUGUAAUGAUUUGGGCACUGUCUCAACGAGAGACUCGGUGAAAUUAUAAUACCCGUGAAGAUGCGGGUUACCCGCGACAGGACGGAAAGACCCCAUGGAGCUUUACUGUAGCUUGAUAUUGAGUAUUUGUUAAACAUGUACAGGAUAGGUAGGAGCCAGAGAAAGUAGGACGCUAGUCUUACCGGAGGCAAUGUUGGGAUACUACCCUUGUUUGAUGGAUCCUCUAACUCACAGAGCUGAGCGUUCUGGAGGACAGUGUCAGGUGGGCAGUUUGACGUGGGGCGGUCGCCUCCUAAAGUGUAACGGAGGCGCCCAAAGGUUCCCUCAGAAUGGUUGGAAAUCAUUCGCAGAGUGUAAAGGUAUAAGGGAGCUUGACUGCGAGAGCUACAACUCGAGCAGGGACGAAAGUCGGGGCUUAGUGAUCUGGUGGUACUGCAUGGAAAGGCCAUCACUCAACGGAUAAAAGCUACCCUGGGGAUAACAGGCUUAUCUCCCCCAAGAGUUCACAUCGACGGGGAGGUUUGGCACCUCGAUGUCGGCUCGUCGCAUCCUGGGGCUGAAGUCGGUCCCAAGGGUUGGGCUGUUCGCCCAUUAAAGCGGCACGCGAGCUGGGUUCAGAACGUCGUGAGACAGUUCGGUCCCUAUCCGUCGUGGGCGUAGGAAAUUUGAGAGGAGCUGUCCUUAGUACGAGAGGACCGGGAUGGACAUACCGCUGGUGUACCAGUUGUCUUGCCAAAGGCAUCGCUGGGUAGCUAUGUAUGGAAGGGAUAAGCGCUGAAAGCAUCUAAGUGCGAAGCCCCCCUCAAGAUGAGAUUUC
rnacentral:rRNA from 1 species